GAGGGGAAAUGUGGCAGUCAUUCUGAUGCUUCGUUCAUUAGCUUUGGCUACACAAGUUGAAAUCAUUAGUGAGGUUUUAUUAGACAAUGAAAUGUCCUAUCAGAGAUCAGUUACUGAAUUAACUGUAGCUGACUGUCAUCUUUUGCAAACAGAUAGCUUAUUUGUUUCAGAAGCUGACUGGAUUUGUCUGUGUGCCACAACAACAUACUGGCAGUGGUCAAAUAAUGUGCACAAGUUAAAAAACUGCAGUUCUGAAGUGGAACAACAAAGCCACAGCUCAUGAGAUGGAUUCUGCUGUGGCCGAUCACCUCAAGCAUGCCCCCUGCAGAGCUUUUAACUUUUUUUUUCUUUUCUUGUUUGACUUCUCAGAAACUAAAAUGCAAGAUUUUGUCUUGUUAAAUAAUCACCUUGAUUUCCUUUACAUUAAAACAUUGAAAAUCAUGUACAAUACUGACACAGCUUAUGGUUCAAAGGUUUGAAAAUUCUUUCUGAAUUGAUGCAUAGGAUCUUUGUCUUAGUCCUAACGAAGUUCAUGGUCCAGUUUUAUGUUCCACAAAUGAAAUUAAUAAUAACUACACAUUUUCAAUAAAGUUUCCAUUUAACAAA